UAAGGAAUAUUGAUCAAUGGGAGAAAUCCUGAAGCAGCAACGCCGCGUGGAGGAUGAAGGGUCUAUGACUUGUAAACUCCUGUAAAGAAGGAAAAAAUUCCCAUUUGAUGGGAGAUGAUGGUACUUCUGGAGUAAGCCCCGGCUAACUACGUGCCAGCAGCCGCGGUAAUACGUAGGGGGCAAGCGUUGUCCGGAUUUACUGGGUGUAAAGGGUGCUCAGGCGGAUUUGUAAGUCAGAGGUGAAAUCUUACAGCUUAACUGUGAAACUGCCUUUGAUAAGGCAAGCCUAGAGUAUGGAAGAGAGUGAUGGAAUAUCUGGUGUAGCAGUGAAAUGCGUAGAUAUCAGAUAGAACACCAAUGGCGAAGGCAGUCACUUGGUCCAUUACUGACGCUAAAGCACGAAAGCGUGGGUA
rnacentral:rRNA from 1 species